rnacentral:misc_RNA from 1 species
AAAGUCGUAACAAGGUUUCCGUAGGUGAACCUGCGGAAGGAUCAUUAACACUUAACUCGAACCUUUAAAAACUCAACCCCCUUUUUUAAAACAAAAACAACUUAACCCUAUUUUAACACCUAACGACAUAACUACUUGACUAAAUUUAGAUUGAUCCUCCAAUUUAAACAAUUGACUCUUCAAUGAAAAUUGGAUUGAGACUUGUUUACAGUUGAAUUCAAUCGACCAAUUCAUUGUAAAACGUGAAUUGUUUUGUAACUAAACUUACAACUCUUAACAAUGGAUAUCUUGGUUCUC